UGUUAGCGUGCACAUAGAAGCUUCUGUGUCC
rnacentral:piRNA from 1 species